rfam:Coniosporium apollinis CBS 100218 chromosome Tnknown supercont1.30, whole genome shotgun sequence.
GUCUCGAUAGCUCAGUGGUAGAGCGUGGGAUUGCAGUCGCUGCAAUCAUCCUAAGGUCGCGUGUUCGAACCACGCUCGGGACU